UGAUUCACUUCUGGGAGGCUCGAAAUCCACUCACGAAUGGACGUACGUUUGAGAGAGCAUUAACAAAUUUGAAUUGAUAUUAUGUAAAUAUUAUCUACUGUUUUGUAGACGAAUUGAGUAUCAUUCAUUCGUUACCUGUUUGAGAUGGCAAUGCAAUAAGAGAAUUGAUUUCCCUGUCAUUUUCUCAGGACACUAUAUGUUUAUCUUUGAUUGAUUACCUCCCAAGCUUAAAUUUUUGUGUUGCUUUUUAGGCUAUGCUCAUGGUGAUUACUUCUAACUGAUUGAGUUCUCUAUGGUUUCUCUUUUUUUUGUAUGGAAAUAAUCGACAUAUAUUAGCCUACGAUUUGAGAAACCAGCAAAAGGUGCGCUUCUCCAUUGUACUUUAUAUGCUUUCAAUAUUGUAAUAGGGUAUGUGCUGGACAAGAUAAUCUAACUUGUCUAUUAAUCUAUCUUGCAUGUUCAGUUGCUAUUCUCCUCGAUUCCGGAGAGCUUCUCGCCGUUAAACAGGUUAACUUAUUAACUCCAUUUUGGAUUUUAGAAACUGUAGUCCUUCUUUGCAGUUUGAUUUUUAUUUUAUUUUCUCUGUGGAGUUUGAUUCCUAUGAUGAGUUUUUGGUAGUCAAUGGGAUAUCCAAGCUCAUUCGUUCUACAUAUGUAGUAAAACGCAUCACCUUAUUCCGUUUGAUUUCUCCAUAAUUAUAUUUUUUUUAGAGUUUACUCUAACAGUAUUUUUGUUGUUGAAUUGACUAGAUUUUAGUUGUUCUUACGAGGUUCUGACUGCAUCCAAGAAAAAAAGUCAAGUUUUCGGAUAAACUAACAUGUUUCUUUUUUACUAUUGUGCUAUGACUUAUUUUCCAUCACAUGAUCUUAGUCGUUUCUUUAUGUACGGUGAGCUGAUUGAUUCAUGACUAUCCUACUUUGGUUCACAUGAUCUUAGUCGUACACAGGUCGCACACAAUAUACAUCGUUUACAUGACAUCUAGCUUACAUCUUCAGGUUUAGUUAACAUGCUUCCCUGAAGUACUAAGUCUGCGUGUGGUUAGAGAAAAUGUUCAUUCUCUGUGUUGUUGACUACUUCCUGCUAUUCUGAGAUAUCUAAUUUUAGGAACUGUGGAUCUAAUUUAAUAUAUACAACUUUAUUUGUCUUUGGUACAGAGCGGAGGAAGAAGCUUGGUAUAGGAAAACCCUUUCUCUUAACCCUUAGUUUUCUCUGUAUCAAACUUUAAAAACAUUUUAUUAUGUGACGAAUGUCAUGAUAAAAAUCUAUGACUUUGUGUAGUGGUAUUAAUUUUUAUUCAAUUUUCUCUAUAUCUUUUGCUAUUUUCAUCUGUGGAAAGGUGGAAGCUAUAAGGUUGCAAAAUGACAUUUAACUGUUAACGUCCGACUGUGACAGACCCGCAUGCAUAAGUGUAUUCGACAACCUUGCGGAGCUCCAGUGAGGAAUUAGUAAUGUCAGGUGUGGAACAAAAGGUUGCUGUAGGCACCAAUAUCAACCCUAAAUUAGUUGGAGGUAACCAUUUCUAACACUCAUCUGUUAUUUUAAGCCAUUUUUUUUUUCUAAAUGCUACACCAGGAACACUUUUCUUUUUUGACCAUGAGAGUGUAGCCAGCCAAAGUUAUCUCACAAAGUAAGGAUUAUAGCCUUUGUUACUGUGAAUACAUGUCGUCAUGUUAUAAAUCAUGUACAUAGUUAGUCACCACAAGGUUGGUCUCGGUAGGAAGGUUCAUUGUCAACGUCUACGAAAUAUGGUGGUGUUAAGAAGAUCGAAACGUUAACACUGUCUUAGCUAAAUGCUUAUAUCAUAUCGCCCCACAGGUGACCACUUUCACGUAACCCAUAUGUUUGUGUGUUUCUUGACCGACAAUUACUUUCAUUUUCUUGGUGCCAUAUCCAAAGUGUUCCUGAGAUAAAGUGCAGACGAGGAAAGAAAGCUUUCUUAUUACAUGGUAUCUCACCAGAAUCAAUCAAUUUGUUUCUACUGUGAGUAUCUCCAAAUACAGAAUGUAAUGUCUUUUAAAAAAAAAAGAUUCAAACACAGAAAUAGUAAUCAGAUCGAUAUAGCUUUACAUCAAACAAAUUCAGGACAUAGAUCAAAAUGUUGUCUCAGUUCAGACUCAUGCAUGUUGUUUCUUUAAUCAGGUAUUGCAAUGAGGACAGCAAGAUGAUCGAUGUGUAUGAGUAUAGGGAAAAGGGAACGCUUAAGGACCAUCGGAAUGACUCGGAUAACCCUAGGUUGAGCUGGAGACAGAAGCUUGAGAUAUGCGCUAAAGGGCUUCACUAUCUCCAUACAGGUUCCGCAAGAGCCACUAUACACUUCGUUUGAAGUCUGCUUCAGGCCAUUGAAGCUCUCGACCCGAACCACAAACUGGGUACUGGAACCACAAGAAGCAAAAUCAAUCUGAAUAGAAAGACAACUUCAUAUCAUCAAACUGUUCCGUGAGUUUAACCAAAGGAAAAAUAUUCAGACAAUAUUUGAUGUAAUAAAAGCUCAAAGAGCAACUCCGAGACAACAAGAGUGAAUACCUUUUGGAUAGAUAGAGAAAGUUUCUUGCUUUCAUUUUUUGUUGUUGCAUUUAUUCAUAAUCUUUUGUUCUUUUUAUUCUCUGCAAAAUUUUCAGUAAACAAAUAACCUACCUUAGCGUUAUAAACCUAUAACUAGGAACAAUAAAUGUUUGAUUCUUUCGCUAAUGCUGUGUUUUGAAAAACUGAGAUACAAGUUUAUUAUGUAACAACUUCCUUGGUUAGGGUUGUGUGGGGACCAUAUUAUCUCAUUUGUCGUGCUCUUGGCUGGAGGUUGGGAUAAUGCUUCUUUCUUGGUAAUGCAGUUGCUGGAGCUAAAUACCCUAGACUCGGGGGAACACACAGUCCAAGUGUUGUUGGAGGAAAAUUAAAAAAAAAAACCUCAGUGUCUAUCCGAUUCAGCUGGAGCACAUAUAUCUAAAAAACAUGGCAAGACUCAAACUCCCAAGAAGUUGCAACCUCCAAAACA